GAUGGACGGAGCACUCAGCAUGCUGGGGAGCGAGAGACAUCCAUGGAAGGUGCUGAGCUAUCUCAGAGUUUUUGCAAGCUUCCCUGCUUUUUCCCCAUCAGUGUGUUAAAGAGGAAAUCCCCCUUACAAAUCUCCCCUCAGAGGGGCAUGUAAGGGACCAAAACCAUCUUAACCAGAGCCAGCAGCACAGGAUACCCUGUGGUACUGAACUUUGAUUCACGUACCACAAUGAAUGAAAGACGUGAUGGGAAACCUGAGCUGAAGAGAGCAGGAACGUAUGAGCAGUGCAAUUUUGGUCUUCUGGAAGUAUCAUUUCUGGGCACAUUCUGAGAAAUGCAUGUACAUCCAGACCAGGAAAGUGAAAACCUCCAAGUCUUUUCAAAGGUUGUACUGGACUGGAAACAACGGAGAACGGUUAUCUGUGUUUCAGGAGUGAAAUUUUAGGCAUAGUUGAAAACCUUCCCUGCGUAAGUUCGAGUUACUGCACUCUCUACGAGGACUGAUGCUCUCCAGUCAUUUGCUUUUCCUUCAUUUUGGUUUUCUGACUCUCUGAAGAGUUUAAACUCCUCCACUGUCUUGUUGAAAUACCAGCGUAGGCUGAGGAGAUGGUAGGUAAGCAAGUCCUGCUGGAAUGGCCACCUAACCAGAACUAUGUGCUGCAGCCCCUUCACAUUUGAAACUCCCAUUAACCUCAAUGUACUGCCGGGAGAUAGUCUGGAUUUAACUGUCUUCACCUCAAAAAGGGCAUUCACUGAACAAAGAGCCAGAGACAAAACUGCUGCACUUGAGGAACAACCAGAACUGUACAUCAAUUUGCAUUUGCAAGUCUUUCCCUGAGGUUUUUUUUCCUAGCAGCUGCCAAGCAUUAAAUGGCUUUACUUGUAGGUAAUUUUAAAGUUAAUUUGUUUUGUAGAGAAAUUGCACUAUUCCGCUGUGUUUUUGCUCUCCUUUCUUGGUAGAGAUUUGCAAUCUGAAUAGCCCAAAUAAAAGCUGCGUUUGGGGGUUGGGGGGAAUUCAGCUUUAAGAAGUCUCAAGAUUUUAC
rnacentral:lncRNA from 1 species